GCUGGGAGCUGUCCCUUCAAAAUGUGAUCACUGGCAAGAUGGCGUCAUCUCCUGUCCCUGUGGAAGGAUGGAGCCCAGCCUUGGACUACCCCGAAGAUCCGUGGAGAACACGUUCUAGAACUCUUAACGGCCACUCGCGACAGGCUCCCGGAACACCACUGCUUCUAGCACGUGGAAUAGAGCGGGAUUCGGGAUGAGCUUUGCAGCCACGUGACGUUAAGUAAUGACAGUUGGAGACCACUAGAAAUUUAUAAACUAUAUGAAGUCAUCGGGAAGUAUACAGAUAAAACAAGUCAAAUCAAUCUAACUUUUGGAUGGAAUAUUCAUAAAAACCUGC